CUGGAACAGGUUGCACAACAUGACUUGGCUCUGAGACGUCACCGCUGCAUUGUUAAGGCAGUUUGAUCAGACCUCACAACCUCUGAGGAUGCUUGCCACAGAUGUGGGCGAAACGUCAGGAGAGAAUGCUUCUGGAACAUGGCCAGACAGCCAGAAAACUCGCAGCAACCUAGAUGGCCCAAGCGUUAUCAUUGUUGUUGGUUUAUUCACUGAUACCCCUUAACAAGCACAGUCAAACAGCCAUCGUCGUAAGAUCAAUAAUGCGCACGAUAUUGCAUGCAGUCAAUAUUGAUGUUGAUGAUUUUAUUCCCUAAUCUAUAUACAGUAGAGUCUCACUUAUCCAACAUUCACUUAUCCAACGUUCUGGAUUAUCCAACGCAUUUUUGUAGUCAAUGUUUUCAAUACUUCAUAAUAUUUUGAUGCUAAAUUCGUAAAUACAAUAAUUACUACGUAGCCUUACUGCAUAUUGAAUUACCUUUUCGGGCAAAUUUGUUGUCUAACAUGAUGUUUUGGUGCUUAAUUUGUAAAAUCAUAACCUAAUUUGAUGUUUAAAAGGCUUCUCCUUAAUCGCUCCUUAUUAUCCAACAUAUUCGCUUAUCCAACGUUCUGCCGGCCCGUUUAUGUUGGAUAAGUGAGACUCUACUGUAUAUAAAAGAGUGAUGGCAUCAGGGCAGCGGACAAAACAACAAAACUACAGGCCCCCCAAUCUCGAAAUUUGACAACACAACCCAUCAUCCAUGGCUCUAGGUUGAUACAACAAAAAGAAAAGAAAAAUAAAGUCCUAAUUAGAGGGAGAGGAAUAAUUGUUUUUAUCCAAUUGCUGCCAGUUAGAAGGCGAAGCUCCACCCACUUGGUCUCCUAGCAAUCGAUUCAGCCCAGGGGACAGGCAGAAUUAGGCUUCACUUAGGCCUCUUCCACAGAUUAUCUAAUUUGCACUGGAUUAUAUGGCAGUGUAGACUCAAGGCCCUUCCACACAGCUAUAUAACCCAUUUAGAAUUGAAUUAUCUCGACUCUACACUGCCAUAUAAUCCACUUCAGUGUGCAUUUUAUACAGUUGUGAAGAUGGGUUAUUCCUCAAUACUUUAUUUCCCAUACCACCAUACUUCGCCACAGCAACGCGUGGCCGGGCACAGCUAGUAUAUAUAUAUACCGUGUUUCCCCAAAAAUAAGACAGUGUCUUAUAUUAAUUUUUGCUCCCAAAGAUGCACUAGGUCUUAUUUUCAGGAGAUGUCUUAUUUUUCCAUGAAGAAGAAUUCACAUUUAUUAUUGAACAAAAAAUGAACAUUUUAUAUAUACAGUAGAGUCUCACUUAUCCAAGCUAAACGGGCCGGCAGAAGCUUGGAUAAGCGAAUAUCUUGGAUAAUAAGGAGGGAUUAAGGAAAAGCCUAUUAAACAUCAAAUUAGGUUAUGAUUUUACAAAUUAAGCACCAAAACAUCAUGUUAUACAAUAAAUUUGACAGAAAAAGUAGUUCAAUACGCAGUAAUGUGAUGUUGUAAUUACUGUAUUUACGAAUUUAGCACCAAAAUAUCACGAUAUAUUGAAAACAUUGACUACAAAAAUGGCUUGGAUAAUCCAGAGGCUUGGAUAAGCGAGGCUUGGAUAAGUGAGACUCUACUGUAGUAGGACCAGGCUGUGGCACAGCUGGUUAAUAGCCAGCUGCAAUAAAUCACUACUGACCGAGAGGUCAUGAGUUCGAAGCCAGCCCGGGUCAGAGUAAGCUCCUGACCAUUAAUAGUCUAGCUUGCUUUGACCUAAAGACAGUUGCAUCUGUCAAGUAGGAAAUUUAGGUACCGCUUUAUGCGAGGAAGCUAAUUUAACGAAUUUACGACAACAUAAAAGCAAGCAGCAUGCGGAAAGGAAUGAGGAAGUACUACCAUCAAGGAUUCGGUAUCACAAGUGGGAGAUGAAAUGGCCGGAAUCAAACAUACCCCCAUGAAGCCAGAAGCUGGAAAAUGUUAAAUUGCCUCUGUGUCUAUCUAUAUGUUGUAUGUUUAAUGGCAUUGAAUGUUUGCCAUGUAUAUGUGCGUUGUGAUCCGCCCUGAGUCCCCUUCAGGAUGAGAAAGAAGGGCAGAAUAUAAAUGCUGUAAAUAAAAAAAAAUAUCUCAGUAUCAGGAAAGUGUGGGCAUUUCACACAGUUUUCCAGAUGCUUGAUUCCAAUUCUCAUCUACUAUAGGCAACAUGAUUGAUACUACGCAUCGAAUAGGACACAGAAGCCCUCCUCGAUAGAGACUUACCUUUUGCACAAUCUCCGCCAAGUCUCCGCAAAGCCAGAUGAUGUCUCGGCUGGCCGAAUAGUCAUGCAAGUGGGAGAAGAGAUACCUGCAAGAAGAUACUGGUGAUAAUGCAAGGAUGCUGAGCACGGAAAGUCAUGUUCGCUGAUGUCACAUAGAGCUCUCAACACCUGCACAUUAGUGGAUGUCUUUCCAUCUCUCGUGCGCCAAGAAGGAGACUUCCAGUCACCGCUAGAGGGAGGUCCCAUUGCGGGGAGAAGAAUGCCAGCCUUGUCUGCUCCAGAAAUUGCAGAAAUGCCCUCAAUGGCACCAGCAAUUAUGUCCCGGGACAACCGUUGAGCAAUUUCACCGGCAAGAUCAGAAUUACUGGAUCCCUCUCGCAAUAAACUCAGCGGCCGUGUGUCUAUCCAUCAUGCAUCCUUACAAAGCUACCGUUUUGAUGCACUCCCUAGCUACAUUGAAAUGUGUAUGUCGUUAGAAAUACAUACGCUGUAUAUAUUUUCUUUUCUCUAUAAAUAAAAGUCAAAGUCUCUAUCUAU